rnacentral:rRNA from 1 species
UAGGGAAUCUUCGGCAAUGGACGAAAGUCUGACCGAGCAACGCCGCGUGAGUGAAGAAGGUUUUCGGAUCGUAAAACUCUGUUGUUAGAGAAGAACAAGGCCGUUAGUAACUGAACGUCCCCUGACGGUAUCUAACCAGAAAGCCACGGCUAACUACGUUCCAGCAGCCCCGGAAAUACGUAGGUGGCAAGCGUUGUCCGGAUUUAUUGGGCGUAAAGCGAGCGCAGGCGGUUUCUUAAGUCUGAUGUGAAAGCCCCCGGCUCAACCGGGGAGGGUCAUUGGAAACUGGGAGACUUGAGUGCAGAAGAGGAGAGUGGAAUUCCAUGUGUAGCGGUGAAAUGCGUAGAUAUAUGGAGGAACACCAGUGGCGAAGGCGGCUCUCUGGUCUGUAACUGACGCUGAGGCUCGAAAGCGUGGGGAGCAAACAGG